UACCUGAUUGAUUCUGUCAGCGCGAUAUGCUACAAGUAAAAGAUUAAGCCAUGCAUGCUUUGAUUCAUCAAUGAAAUUGCGUACGGCUCAUUAGAGCAGAUAUCACCUUGUUCGGAAUCCUGAAAUGGAUAACUGCGGAAAUACUGGAGCUAAUACAUGCAACUAAACCCCAACGCAAGGCGGGGUGCAAUUAUUAGAACAGACCAAACGUUUUCGGACGUUUACUGUUGACUCUGAAUAAAGCAGUUUACUGUCAGUUUCGACUGACUCUAUCCGAAAAGGGUGUCUGCCCUUUCAACUAGAUGGUAGUUCAUUGGACUACCAUGGUUGUUACGGGUAACGGAGAAUAAGGGUUCGACUCCGGAGAGGGAGCCUUAGAAACGGCUACCACGUCCAAGGAAGGCAGCAGGCGCGAAACUUAUCCACUGUUGAGUAUGAGAUAGUGACUAAAAAUAUAAAGACUCAUCCUUUUGGAUUUUUUUUCCUAUGCUACGCCGACGAUUUUUUUUCCUAUGCUACGCCGACACACACAGUUAAGUGCGCAUGUGCGUUCGGCUCGACUUGUGAUGCUUCGGAACUAGAAUGAGAUCGUGCUUCUCCCCUGAAGAAGAAGCUCAAUGUCAUCCGACAAGCCGACUU
rnacentral:ncRNA from 1 species